rnacentral:misc_RNA from 1 species
UUUCCGUAGGUGAACCUGCGGAAGGAUCAUUAAAGUUAUAGUCCCCCGGCCCUCUGGGCUGGGGUCUUCUAUACCACCCUUUGUUUAUUACACCUUUGUUGCUUUGGCAGGCCUGCCCUCGGGCUGCUGGCUCCGGCCGGCACGCGUCUGCCAGAGGACCUAAACUCUGUUUGUAUAUGAAGUCUGAGUACUAUAUAAUAGUUAAAACUUUCAACAACGGAUCUCUUGGUUCUG